rnacentral:rRNA from 1 species
GACGAACGCUGGCGGCGUGCUUAACACAUGCAAGUCGAACGGUAAGGCCCUUCGGGGUACACGAGUGGCGAACGGGUGAGUGACACGUGGGUGAUCUGCCCUGCACUUCGGGAUAAGCCUGGGAAACUGGGUCUAAUACCGGAUAGGACCCUGGGAUGCAUGUCCUGGGGUGGAAAGCUUUUGCGGUGUGGGAUGGGCCUGCGGCCUAUCAGCUUGUUGGGGGGGUGAUGGCCUACCAAGGCGACGACGGGUAGCCGGCCUGAGAGGGUGACCAGCCACACUGGGACUGAGAUACGGCCCAGACUCCUACGGGAGGCAGCAGUGGGGAAUAUUGCACAAUGGGCGCAAGCCUGAUGCAGCGACGCCGCGUGAGGGAUGACGGCCUUCGGGUUGUAAACCUCUUUCAGCACCGACGAAGCGCAAGUGACGGUAGGUGCAGAAGAAGGACCGGCCAACUACGUGCCAGCAGCCGCCGCCG